rnacentral:misc_RNA from 1 species
UAAUUAACUUUUAUUUUCUCAUGUAUAAUUAAGACUUAUGUAAUGUACUUUGAUAUUAAUGUAAAUAGUGAAAAUUAUGUUUAUGAAUGGAACAUUGAGUAUUUAUUUAUGACUUGUAUAUGAAUAUUAUGUGAAAUGAAUGAAUGAGAAAUGGAAUUGUUAUUGAAAAAUAUUGAGAUUUUGUUGAUAAAUUGGAUUUGGGAAUGAUUGAAAAUUUUGGAAGUGUUUUUCAUAGGUUCUGAAGAACUGUUUU